rnacentral:rRNA from 1 species
CGCUGGCGGCGUGCUUCAUACAUGCAAGUCGAACGAGAAACUGACUUCGGUCAGUGGAAAGUGGCGGACGGGUGAGUAAAAUGUAGAGAAUCUGCCCCUAAGAGCGGGACAACAGAGGGAAACUUCUGCUAAUACCGCAUAUGAGCGUAGCUGAGAUGCUAUUCUUGAAAACUCCGGUGCUUAGGGAUGAGUCUGCAUCUGAUUAGCUAGUUGGCGGUGUAAUGGACCACCAAGGCGACGAUCAGUAGCUGGUUUGAGAGGAUGAUCAGCCACAAUGGGACUGAGACACGGCCCAUACUCCUACGGGAGGCAGCAGUAGGGAAUUUUGCGCAAUGGGCGAAAGCCUGACGCCAGCAACGCCGCGUGAUUGAUGAAGCCCUUCGGGGUGUAAAGAUCUGUCAGUGGGGACGAAAUUUGACGGUACCCACAGAGGAAGCACCGGCUAACUCCGUGCCAGCCGCAGC